ensembl:lncRNA
CGCCAACCUGGUUCUGAUUUUCCUGCAUUUAAAUAACAAAAACAUGGCUUCAACAUUUUAUUAAGUAUUAAAAUGAUGCUUGCAUAUAGAUUUUUAAAAAGAUGAAUAGUCAGACUACCCUGGUGGCUCAGUGGAUAAGAAUCCGCCUGCCAAUUCAGGGGACACGGGUUUGAUCCCUGGUCUGGGAAGAUUUCAUAUGCUGCAGAGCAACUAAGCCAUGAACCACAGCUACUGAGUCUGUGCUCUAGAAGAAAGCCACAGCUACUGAGCACAUGUGCCGCAACCACUGAAGCCCACGUGCCUAGGACUUGUGCUCCGCAAAAAGAGAAGCCACUGCAAUGAGAAGCCUGAGCACCGCAGCUGGAGCAGCCCCCACUUGCUGCAGCUAGAGAAAAGCCCGUGCAGCAACGAAGACCCAACACAGCCAAAAAUAAAUAAACUAAUUAAAAAGGAAGACGAAUAGUAUUAGAAGGCGUAAGAGAAUGUAAACAAAAGAAGAAAAUUGUGAAACUAUUCUCCAAGUUUGGAUACCCCACAAAGAAGAGAUUUGGGUACAAGAGAGUUUUAAGGAAGAGGAUGUCAGGGGUACAGUGAAGACCUGCAGAAUCCAAGGGGAGAGGACACCAUGCCUUCGAUGGGCAGCGAUAUCAGAGGUGUUGCUGCUGCAGGUGCCCCAGGCUUGUUGCCCACCCGGGACCCUCUGAGAAACAGAAGCACACGCCCCAUCCAAGGGCCCCUCCUUCACAGAUGAGCACUGCUCCCAGGACCUCAGCUCCCAGGCCUGCCCUGGACGAGGCACACUCGCCCUUAGGCAGAAAUUCUCGUUGUUCAGUUGCUCAGUCGUGUCCGACUAUUUGUGACCCCAUGGACUGCAGCACACCAGGUUUCCUUGUCCUUCACUGUCUCCGGGAGUUUGCUCAAACUCUUGCCCAUUGACUCAACAAUAGUAUAGAUUUUGUUAAAGCUUUUCUAUAAAUAAUUUCCUUCCAGAAAUGUACCAAUUUGUAUUCCCA